ACACGCAUGACACACUGCAUAUCAAUAAGCGGAGGAAAAGAAACUAACAAGGAUUCCCUUAGUAACGGCGAGUGAAGCGGGAAGAGCUCAAAUUUGAAAUCUUCAAGGUUUUACCUUGACGAAUUGUAGUUUAUAGAAGUGUUUUCCUGUUAGUAGAGUUUGGUAAAAGUUCUUUGGAAUAGGACAUCAUAGAGGGUGAGAAUCCCGUAUUUGGACCAUUAUUUUCUAGCUGUGUGAUACACUUUCAAAGAGUCGGAUUGUUUGGGAAUGCAGUCCAAAAUGGGUGGUAAAUUUCAUCUAAAGCUAAAUAUUGGCGAGAGACCGAUAGCGAACAAGUACCGUGAGGGAAAGAUGAAAAGAACUUUGAAAAGAGAGUUAAACAGUACGUGAAAUUGUCAAAAGGGAAGCGUUUGACACCAGUGUUGUUUUCUCGAAAAUCAAUUAAAAAAGGCCGGAUUUUGUGUUGUAUUGACCUUAAAAGCUUUCUUCACUCUUUUCUUGUCUUUUUUAAUGCACUUUUCGUUUAACAAGUCAACAUCAGUUUCUCUUGUUGUAAAAGGGUCAUUGGAAGGUGGCUUUCCUUUCGGAGAAAGUGUUUAUAGCCUUUGAUCUCUGCAACCGGAGAGACUGAGGUCUGCAGCGUAGACUCUUCGGGGUUAGAUACAUUUGUGCUAAGCUAUAGCUUUUUAUAGACAACUUGUUGACUAUAUUUAGUCUUGUGGCUUACUCGCUUAUGCUAUUUUACCUACGCUUAGGAUGUUGAGCGCAUGUCUCUCUCU
rnacentral:rRNA from 1 species